GCCCCUUUAGCUCAGUGGUAGAGCGCGCCACUCGUAAAAAAAAAUCCCUUGAAGAUGAUCUUGCAAUGGCGAGGUCGCUUGUUCAAUCCAGGCAGGGGGCA